rnacentral:rRNA from 1 species
GACGAACGCUGGCGGCGUGCUUAACACAUGCAAGUCGAACGGAAAGGCCCCUUUGGGGGUACUCGAGUGGCGAACGGGUGAGUAACACGUGAGUAACCUGCCCUUGACUUCGGGAUAACUUCAGGCAACUGGGGCUAAUACCGGAUAGGAAUCCUUGCUGCAUGGAGGGGGUUGGAAAGCUUCGGCGGUUUUGGAUGGACUGGCGGCCUGUCAGCUUGUUGGUGGGGUGGUGGCUUACCCAGGCUUUGACGGGUAGCCGGCCUGAGAGGGCGACCGGCCACAUUGGGGCCGAGAUACGGCCCAGGCUCCUAACGGAGGCAACAGGGGGGAAUAUUUCAAAAUGGGCGGGAGCCUGAUGCAGCAACGCCGCGGGCCGGAAGACGGCCUUCCGGUUGUAAACCGCUUUCAGCAGGGGCGAAGCUUGUGGUGACGGUACCUGCAGAAGAAGCACCGGCUAACUACGUG